UUCUCCCACUGGUUUUAUGGCAGACGCCACAGAGCUCAUGGCUGUGAAGGCCUCAAAUAGUUUUGCAAAACAACAUAUUGUUUUCCUUCUUCAGGUAAAGAAUAUCAGGUUGAUGCAGUGGAGUUAAUAAUGAUGAAAAGGGAAGAAAUUUGCGUUCCCAGCCUUUAAAGGGAACAAGGCUGACAAACCGAGUGCCCCUUUCUCUGUUGGCUCCUCAUUUUCACGGAAAAGAUUAUUAAGGUUGGAAAAGACCUCCAAGGAAUGAGCUUAAGCCUGACCAUCUUCAGGAACAGCAUUUGGAGACAGGAUAAUUGAUUUUAUCCAGAAAAUACAGUAUGGUCAACUGGAAUUUACUUCCAUGGCAUGAUUUCUCAAUUUCUGAAUAAGCAAUUUCUGCUUAUUCAGAAAUUGCUUCCUUACGAUCUUUCUGUUGAACAGCCACUGAAACAGGAAAAAAACUUCUGUGUUUUUUUCCCUUAUAUUUUUUCCUUUGAGUCUCUCCACUCUCAGCUGUGGUCUUAUAUUAGGAAGUGCUCUUAUUUUUACAAUUCAAAUUGGUAAAUUUGUACAUUAAUUUCUAGGAGGAAGAUGCUUUCAUUACUCCAUAAAUGCAUUUGAGCCUGCAAUUUGCUUUUUUUCCCCGUGAGAUUU